AUAUGAAUUACAGAUUAGAUUUAGGAAUUAGUAUAAUUCUCACAAUACAGAUAGCUUUCCAAAGUUUAUAAAUCAAGCAAACAAUAGAAUAGACAUUGUAUGAUUAGGAAAGUAAAAUCCUUACUCACUAAAAUUAAAAUUCAUAAAGCUUGUUUCAGUAGAGGCCAAAUUAGUUAUUGUGCAAGUUGAUCAGUAAAUGAAGAAUCAAAAUUGACAACAUUUUCAGCUAAUCGUUGUGACUCAAAGACUUAUACUUUGUUGAUCAAACUUUGUCAGCUAAAGGCUUAUACAAAACUUUUGAUAUUAGUUUACACUACCAUGAGGUAUAAAUAGGAACUGCCUGUAAGAAAACUAAUGAAACAAAUUCAUGUACAUAGGCAAAAAAAAUAAAAAUAAGUAAAUAAAUUGAACAAUCAAGAAAGUGCUCAGUUUUUUUGAAACGAUACAUUCAGUUUUAGUUACACAAAUUAACGCGCGUGUGUGUGUAUAUAUAUAUAUAAUAAGACUAAAAUCCUUUGUCACUAACUGAAACUGCAUUGCAAAAUAAAUGUAAUCACAUUUGUGUUCUUCCGUCCUGUACUAUUUGAUCAAUAUGUCAAAUUUGAAAUAAAGCGAUGGACAACUCUCCUUUAUCUCUCUAAGAUACCUCUGACAAAUUAUCAAAUGGAAAACUUAAAACUAAAAGGAAGAACCUUACAACACUUCGAACAAUAGCUUUCCUAAAUAAUAGUACACUCAAAGAGGGAAAAUAGGAAUUCUCAAAUUCAAUUUUAUAAGAACACAGGCUGGAAAAAUAUCCCAUUCAGUUCAGAUAUAAGAGAAGUAUUAAGGAUAACAGCAUAUAUACUUAACCUAUCGGAUACACAGUUUAGACUUCAGGGUUACAAUUGUUGUGGAAGUUGUAUUAUUAUUGCAAACAAUUAUCCGGUUCUCAAACAGAACGAAGUUAAACGGGGAACGAAAUUGAAUACAAAACCAUCAAUAUGAAAUAUAAGCAUUCAACAAAAACACUAUCAAGAAAAAUAACAAUCAUAUCACUCAGAAUUUGUGCAGCAAAGACACUGAUGAGGUUUAGUUCAAUCAGUAAUACCCAGCAUCUUACAGAACAGUUGACCAACAUGCAUAAUCAAAUAAAUUUUAGGUUUCGGAUCCAAAACCAUUGUAGGAAUGAGGUUCCAGAAUUAACCUAAACACACUCAAAUUCCAAUUCUAGAUACACAAAGAUUUUAAAUUCAAGGGUCAGUUUGCAAAACUGAAGCUUGAGAUAACAAUGAAAACAUGCAAUCUUUUAUCGUCAGAUUCAUGAAAAUCCAAUACAUUCCAUAGAUUUGCUCAAAUCUGAUUUCUUGACCAACUUAUCCGAUUCCAGAGAAGAUAAAAACAAAACCCAAAACAUUUAAAAUAUCAAUACGAAUCAGAUUGAUGCAUGAAGGUUACCGCAAAAUCUCACCGAGCUUAUGCUAUUUCCGCUCUGCGGGGCAGCUCCAAGUUUUAGUAGCAGUUUCCUUCCAGACCUUUCAACCAAUCGAUACGAAUACGAUAAAUUGGAUCGGAUUUUGCUGACAAUUGCAGUGAUUGGGCGACGAAGAAUAAAGAGAGAAUGAGAGCAGUUGGCAAAAAGGGAGAAACUUUUCUGAUCUUGUAAUCUUUGUAUUGAAAAGAGUUUGAGGGAGAGGCAGAAAUCUUGGGCAGAGAAGUAUUUCUAGAGAGUUUGAGAGUUUUGGCAGAGAAGAAUCUGGACAGUCUGACGCGAGGAGAAUAUGAGGGAGAAAGAAAUCUCGGCGAGAGAGAGUAAGAAGACUCUAGAG
rnacentral:lncRNA from 1 species